UGUUCUUCUAGUUCAGUACAUACAAUGGUGUGUCUUUCGAUUGGAUGGUGCAAGAGUGAGUCGCUUUGAUGAUGAUGGAUGCAUUACAUGCAAUACCCCCCCUUAAAGAAGAAAGCAUUGAUGGAUUAAGAAAUUGGAUAGUCGCUGUUGGUCGAUGCUUCAAUCCCCCAUACUCUCGUGAUUGUUUGACGUGUUUUGUAACACCGAACCUAUUUCUAGCCGGGUGAGAGGUUUCUUAUUCAAAUCAUGGCAAUUUUAGCUUUCGGCGAAAGAAGGAAGGGUUUACUAAUUGGAAUAGAAAGAGAAUCGUUUCGUCUCCCUUCCCCUGUCAUUAUAUACGCCCCUCGAAUUUACGUAGGAAACAAAUGAAUGUCGCUAGAUAUCAUGGAUCAGUCGUAACGUCGAACGCCGUCAAGUGUGGUUCUAUAAUUGCCAACGUUGGGCUUUUUUUUUGUUGCUGAGGUGGAUUCUAUUUUUUUACCUGUCAAGCGAGAUUGCGACGAGGGAAUCGAUUGAAGCCACAACUGAAACUCCUUGCACGUAAGCCACCUAAAAGACAAGUCACUCGUUAACUACUUGCAUGUAUUUUGUAUAUUUACAAGCACGGCCUCCCUAUGAUCGGGAGGCCGUGCUUUUUUCCCCGUCGUUAUUCAUUGUUUCUUUUUGUAUUUUGUUACAAAUUUCAUUUAAUCGCAUCCAUUCUCAGAACUUUUUUACAACUAAUGGUGAAAUAUCUUACCAACUUGCACAUGGUCUCUCCCAGGAUCCAAGCUGUGACAUGGUAAGGAAAGAAAAGUUAAGGAUUUAUUUAGUUCUGCUUUUUUUUCUCUAAAAGUAACAGAACUUUGUGUUUGCAGUACUUGUAGACACUACUCAACAUAGAGAAAAUUCGCGAAAAGAAGAGUUGACUAUGAUGGAUGGUAGACGGACAGGGACUCGUUUAUUUUAAAUCCGUCGUCUGCUGUCUGUGUUUUGUUUAACAGCUGAGCUGAUUCAUUUGCAAUGUUUGACAGGGAUAAACAUCGAUGACUAAAUCUGUCGGUGCCCAAUCAGAAGAGGGAAAAGUAGCAAAGAAAGUCUGGGGAAAGUUGUUGAUAGUGGAGUGGCGUGACGAUGUGUGAGUGGCGUUUGAGUUAUUAUGGCAAACUACAGCUCGAUAGUGGGAUAUCCUAUCGUUAAUGUAUUGCCCAGCUAUCAAAACAUUCCCUCGCUUUGAAAGAAAGUUUAAACAUUUUUGAUUUAUCUGACAGGAGCUCUCCCAAUGAUUCGAUUAACUUUACAACUUUAAUUGAUUGAUUUAGACGUUUACGUAGGGGUAAUGUCUUUUUACAUAACCUGGGAAAUUGACUGAAAAAAGGGCCGAUAAUCUCGUUAUGAUAAUGAACGUUCGAUAGCUUAUGUAUUGUUUACAUCCAAUUUGUUUACGAUCUUUCAGUUUAGCACAAAGGAUUGCGUAGCUGCUUCACCAAGAAACAUUAUCCCUGCAUCGCGGUAUACAACUAACUAGCCCGGCGGGUAAUAAAGCUUCUCGAUUGACGUCAACAUCCAGCAUCGAAUCCAGCUAAAUCUCAGCUAUUGUGUUUAACAAAGUUUCGCUAUCCAACUAACCUGACAAGUUACCAUUAUCCUACAUCCAUUUCCUUGUUUAUUUUUUUUUUUACAUUGUAAAGUCCACACCGUAACAGCCCUCGAGAAGUCUAAAUUGCCAUACGCUCAAUAUAACAAGGGCCACUGGAGAUCGUCGUCAUGGUAGUGUAUUAAAUUGGAUUCCACGAAGAUCUGAUGGCUACGCAGGGUCUGCAUUUCUUCUUUAACGGGAGGUUAGGAAACGAUUUUUCCCGAGUAACAAGAUUGGAUGGAAGGAAAUGUCUUAUAAACUGUAGAUGACAUCUACGUCUUUUCAGACAGGAGGGGAGAAUUCUUUGAAAAGGGGAAGCGGACGAGUACUGUGCAUCCAAUGGAUGUAUUAUGUUCGAGGAGAAAGAAGUCGUACAUGUUAUUCAAUAAGGGAAUGAAAAAGACGGGAAGUACUGCAUAUUUUUAUUUUAUCUCCUUUCCCGUUUUCAUUUCCGCUGUCUUGCAUUCUUACCCCACCAUCACUGUUGUCGUAAUGCUUGGUAAAUGUAUUGCAAAGUCUCUUUCCAGGCCUGUUUUUAGAUGCUCACAUUCCCCGGCUUAGAUGUUUGUGUAAUUUAUAUCCGAUAGUCAGACGUGUCAAAUUUAUCCGGCAGCAUUUUACCCUACAUUACUAGAUAUCCCGACAGGCUGAACGUGAAAAGAAACUGCCAUUUGUAGUAAAGAUAUUUUUGGAUUUGUGCAAUUCGGCAGGUUUGAAGUGAUGCAUUCAGUGAAGUAAGGUAAUCCUUUCUAACGGAUUUUUUUCGCUGAUGUAGAUGUCUUUAAUUCGUCCUGCGUUAUGCAAGAAAAACUUGAAAUAUUUACUUUGUUUCUUUUAUUUAAUAUCGUUGUCGCUGCUUUGAUCUAUUUGAAAAUUCCAGCCAAAGGUUUUAAUCUCGUGUUUAAAAAUAGUAAAAUUGUGAAGCAA